rnacentral:rRNA from 1 species
GGGGGGAGCAAGCGUUGUUCGGAUUUACUGGGCGUAAAGGGCGCGUAGGCGGCCAGCGCAAGUCAGUUGUGAAAUCUCCGGGCUUAACUCGGAACGGUCAACUGAUACUGCGCGGCUAGAGUGCAGAAGGGGCAACUGGAAUUCUCGGUGUAGCGGUGAAAUGCGUAGAUAUCGAGAGGAACACCUGCGGCGAAGGCGGGUUGCUGGGCUGACACUGACGCUGAGGCGCGAAAGCCAGGGGAGCGAACGGGAUUAGAUACCCCGGUAGUCCUGGCCUUAAACGAUGGAUGCUUGGUGUCUGGAGUUUUAUAGUCUCCGGGUGCCGUAGCUAACGCGUUAAGCAUCCCGCCUGGGGAGUACGGUCGCAAGACUGAA